UACGUAGGGUGCGAGCGUUAAUCGGAUUUACUGGGCGUAAAGCGCGCGUAGGCGGCUUGAUAAGAUGGGUGUGAAAUCCCCGGGCUUAACCUGGGAACUGCAUCCAUAACUGUCUGGCUAGAGUACAGUAGAGGGUGGUGGAAUUUCCUGUGUAGCGGUGAAAUGCGUAGAUAUAGGAAGGAACACCAGUGGCGAAGGCGACCACCUGGACUGAUACUGACGCUGAGGUGCGAAAGCGUGGGGAGCAAACAGG
rnacentral:rRNA from 1 species